CAAUAGCGUAUAUUAAAGCUGUUGCGGUUAAAAAGCUCGUAGUUGGAUUUCUGUCAAGGACAACUGGUCCGCCCUCCGGGUGAGCACAUAGUUUGGUCUUGGCAUCUUGUUGGAAACUGUUGCUGCACUUGGUUGUGUGGCGCAGUGUCCAGCACUUUCACUUUGAGGAAAUUGGAGUGUUUCAAGCAGGCACAUGCCUUUGGACACAGUAGCAUGGAAUAAUUAGAUUGGGCUUUUGCUCCAACUUGUCGGUUUCUGGAGCUGAGGUGAGAAUUAAUGGGGAUUGUUGGGGGCAUCCGAAUUUAGCCGUCAGAGGUGAAAUUCUUGGAUCUGCUAAAGACGGACAACUGCGAAAGCGUUUGCCCAGGAUGUUUUCAUUGA
rnacentral:rRNA from 1 species